rnacentral:rRNA from 1 species
UGCCAGACUCCUACGGGAGGCAGCAGUGGGGAAUAUUGCACAAUGGGCGCAAGCCUGAUGCAGCGACGCCGCGUGAGCGAAGAAGUCUUUCGGUAUGUAAAGCUCUAUCAGCAGGGAAGAAAAUGACGGUACCUGACUAAGAAGCUCCGGCUAAAUACGUGCCAGCAGCCGCGGUAAUACGUAUGGAGCAAGCGUUAUCCGGAAUUACUGGGUGUAAAGGGAGCGUAGACGGAUGUGCAAGUCUGAUGUGAAAGGGGGGGCCGCAACCCCGGCGAGCCGUUGAAACUGGCUGUCUUGAGAUGUCGAGAGGUAUGCGGAAUGCGCAGUGUAGCGGUGAAAUGCUUAGAUAUUGCGCAGAACUCCGAUUGCGAAGGCAGCAUACCGGCGGCGAUCUGACGCUGAGGCACGAAAGCGUGGGUAUCGAACAGGAUUAGAUACCCUUGUA